UAAAAUGCUAUGAAGAGAAAUAGUAAAAAUGUAAGGCUUUACAGAGAGGAAACUAAUGGUGGGAGGUUUCUAAGUUGAGCAUUUUGAACCAGUCUCGGAGCUUAAAGACUGAAAUUGUAGUAUGUCUUUACGGUUAAAGCCGUUAUAUUUUUGAGUGAGCAGUUUGCUUAUUAGAGUGGUACCGCGGAAGUUUAGCCUUUCGUCUCUAGA
rnacentral:ncRNA from 1 species